rnacentral:sRNA from 1 species
ACUUGCGGGAGCUUGCUCCCAAAAGUUAGCGGCGGACGGGUGAGUAACACGUGGGCAACCUGCCUAUAAGACUGGGAUAACUUCGGGAAACCGGAGCUAAUACCGGAUGAUUCUUUUCUACACAUGUAGAAAAGCUGAAAGACGGCUUACGCUGUCACUUAUAGAUGGGCCCGCGGCGCAUUAGCUAGUUGGUGAGGUAACGGCUCACCAAGGCCGAGGGAUGCGUAGCCGACCUGAGAGGGUGAUCGGCCACACUGGGGCUGAGACACGGCCCAGAGACCUACGGGAGGCAGCAGUGGG